rnacentral:misc_RNA from 1 species
GAUGAAGAACGUAGCGAAAUGCGAUAAGUAAUGCGAAUUGCAGAAUUCCGUGAGUCAUCGAAUCUUUGAACGCACAUUGCGCCCUCUGGUAUUCCGGAGGGCAUGCCUGUCUGAGCGUCAUUGUCAACCCUCAAGCUCAGCUUGCUGUUGGGUCCCCGUCGUUGCUUUAACGGCGGACCCGAAAGGUAAUGGCAGAGUCCGUGAGACCCUAGACGCAGCGAGCUUCUAGCACGCGUCUGGACGUUUUUCGGGCUCGGUCUUAACUAGAUGAUAACUGCCGAUUGACCUCAGAUCAGGUAGGGAUACCCGCUGAACUUAAGCAUAUCAAUAAGCGGAGGA